rnacentral:rRNA from 2 species
UCCGGUGGUCAUAGAGAGAGGGUCACACCCGUUCCCAUUCCGAACACGGCAGUUAAGCCUCUCAUCGCCAAUGAUACUGCGCGGGCAACUGUGUGGGAAAGUAGGACGCCGCCGGGA